CACGUAGUUGGCCGGUGCUUCUUCUCCAGGUACCGUCAAUUGCUCUUCGUCCCUGGCGAAAGAGGUUUACAACCCGAAGGCCGUCAUCCCCCACGCGGCGUCGCUGCGUCAGGCUUCCGCCCAUUGCGCAAUAUUCCCCCACUGCUGCCUCCCGUAGGAGUCUGGGCCGUGUCUCAGUCCCAGUGUGGCCGGUCGCCCUCUCAGGCCGGCUACCCGUCACCGCCUUGGUAGGCCAUCACCCCACAACAAGCUGAUAGGCCGCGGGCCCAUCCCCCACCGAAAAAACUUUCCACCACCAACCAUGCGAUCAAUGGUCCUAUCCGGUAUUAGACCCAGUUUCCCAGGCUUAUCCCAGAGUGGAGGGCAGGUCACCCACGUGUUACUCACCCGUUCGCCGCUCGUGUACCCCCGAAAGGGCCUUACCGCUCGACUUGCAUGUGUUAAGCACGCCCGCCAGCGUUCGUCCUCGAGCCAGGAUCAACUACU
rnacentral:rRNA from 1 species